rnacentral:rRNA from 1 species
CAGUUCGGAUUGUAGGCUGAAACUCGCCUACAUGAAGCUGGAGUUACUAGUAAUCGCAGAUCAGAAUGCUGCGGUGAAUGCGCUCCCGGGUCUUGUACACACCGCCCGUCACACCACGGAAGUUGGGGGCGCCCGAAGCCACUUAGCUAACCCAUUUGGGAAGCGAGUGUCGAAGGUGAAAUCAAUAACUGGGGUGAAGUCGUAACAAGGUAUC